UACAGAGGUCUCAAGCGUUGUUCGGAUUCAUUGGGCGUAAAGGGCGCGUAGGCGGCGGGGUAAGUCGGGUGUGAAAUCUCAGAGCUCAACUCUGAAACUGCACUCGAUACUGCUCUGCUUGAGGACUGGAGAGGAGACUGGAAUUCACGGUGUAGCAGUGAAAUGCGUAGAUAUCGUGAGGAAGACCAGUGGCGAAGGCGGGUCUCUGGACAGUUCCUGACGCUGAGGCGCGAAGGCCAGGGGAGCAAAGCGGG
rnacentral:rRNA from 1 species